UACGUAGGGGGGCUAGCGUUGUCCGGAUUUAUUGGGCGUAAAGAGCGUGUAGGCGGCCAGGUAGGUCUGCUGUGAAAACUCGAGGCUCAACCUCGAGACGUCGGCGGAAACCAUCUGGCUAGAGUCCGGAAGAGGAGAGUGGAAUUCCUGGUGUAGCGGUGAAAUGCGCAGAUAUCAGGAAGAACACCCGUGGCGAAGGCGGCUCUCUGGGACGGUACUGACGCUGAGACGCGAAAGCGUGGGGAGCGAACGGG
rnacentral:rRNA from 1 species